rnacentral:snoRNA from 1 species
CACCAAACCUUCUAGUCAGGAUGUUUUCCGUUCCUUGAGGACGACAAAAAAAAUACGAAAGUGUCUGUUACUGUUUUGGAAGAUCAACGCCGCUUACUUUUCUCCGGCCGUAUCCGUUUUGGAUACACUUCGGGGAAAAUUUGGUGGGUAAUUGUCGUCUUGAUAAUAUGCCACCGCUUUUAAGAGCAGCAAGGCCAUCGAUUAACAGAGGUCGGGGAGGCUUGUCUUGAUCGACAGCUAUCUGCCACGAACUCGAAAAUCGAAGGCCGAACAU